GCUCUCCGGUUGCCUAGUGGUUAGAGCGUCCGCCUAAAAUGCGAGAGGUCGCGGGUUCGAACCCCUUGCAGUGUCA